ACGUUGAAACACCGAUUCUCGUACGAUCACCGAAGGUAAACAACGUCGAGCCUGGUCAGAACUUAGAUGGGUGACCGUUUGGGAAUAAUAAGCCC